UGGCGCAAUUGGUUAGCGCGUUCGGCUGUUAACCGGAAUGCUGGUGGUUCGAAGGCGUGGGUUAAAAUCCCAC
rfam:Daphnia pulex DAPPTscaffold_362_Cont9046, whole genome shotgun sequence.